rnacentral:rRNA from 1 species
AUUGAACGCUGGCGGCAGGCCUAACACAUGCAAGUCGAACGGUAACAGAAAGCAGCUUGCUGCUUUGCUGACGAGUGGCGGACGGGUGAGUAAUGUCUGGGAAACUGCCUGAUGGAGGGGGAUAACUACUGGAAACGGUAGCUAAUACCGCAUAACGUCGCAAGACCAAAGAGGGGGACCUUCGGGCCUCUUGCCAUCGGAUGUGCCCAGAUGGGAUUAGCUAGUAGGCGGGGUAACGGCUCACCUAGGCGACGAUCCCUAGCUGGUCUGGGAGGAUGACCAGCCACACUGGAACUGAGACACGGUCCAGACUCCUACGGGAGGCAGCAGUGGGGAAUAUUGCACAAUGGGCGCAAGCCUGAUGCAGCCAUGCCGCGUGUAUGAAGAAGGCCUUCGGGUUGUAAAGUACUUUCAGCGGGGAGGAAGGGAGUAAAGUUAAUACCUUUGCUCAUUGACGUUACCCGCAGAAGAAGCACCGGCUAACUCCGUG